rnacentral:rRNA from 1 species
AUACGGAGGAUCCGAGCGUUAUCCGGAUUUAUUGGGUUUAAAGGGAGCGUAGGUGGAUUGUUAAGUCAGUUGUGAAAGUUUGCGGCUCAACCGUAAAAUUGCAGUUGAUACUGGUUUCCUUGAGUACGGUACAGGUGGGCGGAAUUCGUGGUGUAGCGGUGAAAUGCUUAGAUAUCACGAAGAACUCCGAUCGCGAAGGCAGCUCACCGGGCCGGAACUGACACUGAUGCUCGAAAGUGCGGGUAUCAAACAGGAUUAGAUACCCUGGUAGUCCGCACAGUAAACGAUGAAUACUCGCUGUUUGCGAUACACUGUAAGCGGCCAAGCGAAAGCGUUAAGUAUUCCACCUGGGGAGUACGCCGGCAACGGUGAAACUCAAAGGAAUUGACGGGG